GACGUAGGGCGCGAGCGUUGUCCGGAUUUAUUGGGCGUAAAGAGUCCGUAGGCGGCAUGUUAGGUGAGGUGUGAAAUCCCCCGGCUCAACCGAGGAAUUGCGCUUCAAACCGGCGUGCUAGAGGAAGAUAGAGGUGGGCGGAACUGAUGGUGGAGCGGUGAAAUGCGUUGAUAUCAUCAGGAACACCGGAGGCGAAAGCGGCCCACUGGGUCUUUUCUGACGCUGAGGGACGAAAGCUAGGGGAGCGAACGGG
rnacentral:rRNA from 1 species